rnacentral:rRNA from 1 species
AAUGAACGCUGGCGGCAUGGAUUAGGCAUGCAAGUGGAACGGGCACUUCGGUGUCAGUCGCGAAAGGGUGAGUAACGCGUGAGCAAUCUGCCCCCAAGUUUGGAAUAACUUCUGGAAACGGGAGCUAAUACCGGAUGUGGUCAUUUUUCCGCAUGGUUGAAUGACUAAAGAUUUAUUGCUUGGGGAUGAGCUCGCGUCCCAUUAUGCUAGUUGGCGAGGUAACGGCUCACCAAGGCUAUGACGGGUAGGUGGUCUGAGAGGAUGGUCACCCACACUGGAACUGAGAUACUGUCCAG